UAUCUCCCUUUCCCUUUUUCUCUCUGUCCCUCCCUCCUUCUUCCUCUCUAUUCUUCCCCUCCCCUUGUUUUUAUGCCUGAUUAUGUGGACACAGACAAGGAUUAAAACAGGGCACCUGCCCUUGAGGAGUUUACAAUCUGCUGGGCUGAGGAUCAACACAUGUUCAAAAAGAGAGGAAAGAAGUCAAGGGAGAUCAUGCCAGAUGGACUUAAUUUCAAUGAAGAACAGGGUCUUCCUGCCUGUAAGAAGGAGGCACUCUCUGCUUCUGUCAUGUGCUAAGCUUCGUCAAACAGAUUAUCUCUCUAAAGGUAGAGGCCUGUGAUUGACCGCUGUACCAAUGACUGAGCAGACAUAAAAGUCAGCCUGGAUGGCUACCACCACUAAUCAGAUUUGUCUGCUGAUGCAAGGCCCUUCAGUCAUUCCAGAACUGGUAAAUGGAGUCACCCUGAGGACAGGCCCUGCUGCUGAUUGAUGUCCAGUGUGGGCAGCUCUCUUGGCUGCUCAACAUUCAGAGAGGCUCUCCUUGUUUCAGUGCUAAAUGAUUGACAGUCAGGCAUUCAGAUUCAAGGAAGAAACAGUUUCUCUGGAGAAUUUUGUUCCUUAGUGACUGAUUUCAGUUGAUUUCAAGGUAAGCCAGGUAUGUAACUAACUUUUUAAAUUUAGAUGAAUAUAAGUUUAUGUUAUUAAUGAUUAUUUGUUUAUUCAUAAAAUUGACACUGACAUGUUACUAAAAUACAAGAAUCUCAAUUUUAUAUUGAAGAAAUUAAUUCAUUAGGUCAAACACAUAAAAAUUCUGAAGUGAAAAUGAUUCAUGUGUCAAGUGGUCAUAAUGUAAGACCCCAGUAAAUAUUCCACAGUAGGUUGAGCUAAUGGCAGUUGCUUCUCAGUACACAUUCAAACAUAUUUUCUCACAAUCUAGAGAGUUCAUCUACACUGGGCAGAAAGGGCUAGAUUGAUUAGCAACCAAAGGCCUGAGCUCCAUCGCUGGUUGCAUAACAAUAGCUGUGUGACCUUUGAUAAGGUGCUUAGCCUCUCUAUGCCACUGCUUUCUCACCUGUCAUGUAAGUGUAACAAUGUCUUUCUCACCUGUCUCAUAUUAUUGCUAUGCAGAAGAAAUGAGAUUUCAUUCUGGAAGUUCUUUAAGCCCCUGAACAAAAUGCAAGUUUUUAUGGAUCCACACACACAUACACUAUUCAUGAUCAUGAAUACAUAAUGUACUCUGUUUUGAAUAUGCUGUAGGUGUUUUGUGCUUUGAAUGCUUGUGCCUGGAGAUCCCAGCCCAUAACAGCACACAAUAGGUGUCCCCUGUGGGGGUAACCCACAGAGUAUAACUCCCAGAGUAUAACCCAGGUGAUAUUCUGCCACACCUGUGCUCUGACAGAUGGUGGUGUGGAGAGAGAAAUUUGCCACAUCAACACAUGCCAAGGUAAGGAGAACAGAGCCACGUAAUAGCAACACCAAAGCCUGUCUGUCCAUUAAGCCAAGUCAAAUGCCACUUUCUUCACAUAGCUUUCUGGGGCUUCUUUCUCCUCCUGAAGGAAUUAAUUUCUUCUGAAUCUGUGUACUUGUUUCACUCUGUCGAUGUGGCCUUGAACUUUCCGUACCCAUGCCAACCCCAACAGCAUUCAGCUGGCACCCAAUAAAUAGGAUUCCAGCUCUCUUAGAGUCUGCAGCCUCAGUUCUGAAAUUCUGGCCUGACCCUGAGUCAUUCCUCAGAUUAGAUUUCACCCUAUUUGUAUUCUCCUGCCUUGCAACUUCCAGCCAAGUCAAUACAUAGUUACCAAGCACUUGCUAUUUGCUAGGAGUGUGCUAAAUUAUGGGGUACGGUAAUGGACAAUAAUUCAUGUCUUUUGCUCUCUUGAAGAUUAGAACCUAAUGAGGCUAUAAACAAUUAAACAAUUUCAAUCUUCAAACUAAGGAAUUUAUAGGGAAAUUUUCAAAAAGGGUCCAGUAUGAGAUAUAUGAGAUCUAUGGGCUGAGAAGGUGUUAAUUAGGUGAAAGUCUGUUUAGAAAGGCAGAAUGUUCCAAGUAAUACAUCUAGGCAACAAAGGAGAACCUGUUACAUUUAAGAAAUGGAAAGACACUCGGUUUGGACAAAGCUAAGUACUAAGCAAAAGCCAACUUCUUUACCUAUUUCUCUACUUCCAGCUUCACCUUAUAUUUGGUACCUUCAUACUUAAUGUUGGGCUCUGUAACUCCCUCCUGUACAGCCUCUUAAUCACCUCCCCAGUUUGGUCAACACCAAGAUCCCAGUUCCUUUUGAUCCCCAAACGGACUAAUUUCCUCUUGCCUUAUAAAUGGAAACUGAUCUGUCUCAAUGUUUUUUUUUUUAACAUGUAAUUUGCAUCACAAUGAUCCAAUUUGAGGGCACAUAUUAUUUUUCUUAUCAGACUGCCAAGGAACAGAUGAUCUUUGUAUUUCCUCCCAAGUACCUAGAAUAGUGCCUAACAAUACAUUUGUAUUUUCCUAUAACAAAUUUCUAUCAUGUCACUUUCUGGUUUAAAAUCCUUCAGUGACUCUGCAGUACAUUUUAGGACAAAACCCUAUUCCAAAAUACAGGCCACAAGUCCCUCAUGUUCCAGCCCCAUUAGCCUGCCAGCCUCACCAAAGGCAGAAGCCCUUUGCCCUCCUCACUUCCCCUUCCACUUACAGGAAGCACUCAACUUCUCAAGGCUUCUUGCUCCUUCCUGCCUUUGAGCUCCCUCACAUGCCAUUCUUUCUGCUUGCCCCACCCAGCCCCACCCAGCCAGACUCAGCCCUUCACUGUGGCUCAUCUUGGAGGUCUCAGGUUACAUAUCACUUCACAGGAAGGCUUUCCCCAAUACUCACUUAGUUGCUACUGCUACAAUAUGGCACUUAUUAUGCUUUACUGAAAUUACUUGUUGAAAUGUUUAUCUCUCCUGCUGAGGGUAUCUCAGCCUUGGUAUGAUUGACAUUUUGGACCAAAUCAUUCUUUGUGGCGGGGGCUGUCUUGUACAUGGUAGGUUGUUUAGCAGCAUCCCUGGCCUCUACCCGCUAGAUGCCAGUAGCACCUUCCCCAGUUAUGACAGCCAAGAAUGUCUGCAGACGUUGCUAAAUGUCUCCUGGGGGGGCAGUCACAUCCAUUUGAGAGUGACUGUGCCAGAUCAUUGAGAAGGUAAGGACUGUGUCUUGAAUAAGUAGUGAAUACCACUGUAUCACAACCUGGCAUUUAGUGGAAGGCUACUGAUCAUGUGUUGCAUGAAUGAAUAGAAGUUUUUACUAUAAGCUCCUACUGAAUGAAUGAAUAUUAGUAAGAAAACUGUGUCAGAAACACUGGUAGUUCAGAACCCUGCAUUUUUAUUUAAUGAAGGGUGGAACCUGCAAGAACAUGGUGGUCUCUUACUUUGGAACCUGUCUCCUCCUUGCCUGUUAAUCGGUCCUGGUCCUCUAUUCCCCCCACCCCCAAACAUACCUCUUUGGGCUGCCCUGUCCACCCAUCUCCCCUCUACCAAGCAGAAAAAAAAGGUUCCAGCUCCCUGAGCUUUCUUCUUCAAAGACAUUUAAGCUUUUAAUGCGAAUCCUGAUUAAUUAACAAGGGCACGGGACUUACAUGCAUUUCAAGUUGCUUUUAUCUCGUGAAGAAAAGAAGCCUUUUGGCAGAUACUUUCUGUUCAAUGUCUAGUUCAGUAUUUCAAAGGGCAAGCUGUGAUGGGCUGAGCGGGUUACCAUUUGUGUGUGUGUGAAGGGCAAUGACUAGUAAUUAAGGGACAGACCCCUUUAUGUCAACUUAAGAAAAAAAAUUAAUCUCAGCUUCAUUUCAAGCUGGGUUUGGUGUUGAAGGGCAGAAGCAAAAUAGAAAGGGGGUACACUGUAUGGUAAUGGCUGGAUCUCUUUGGCUUUGAAUGAAAAAGCUAAUAUUUGUUGAGAACCUACUGUAUACUAUAUCAGAUCCCCCCAGAACCCUGUGGAAGAGUCAAUAUAAUUUAAUUUUACAAAAACAAAGUUUGGGAGGCAUCAAGUUAUUUGUCCAAAAUACAACAAAUAGUCCAGCCAUAUUCAGAAUAUGGUAGAUCUGAAUACAUUCUUUCAUCCAAAACUUCCGGCUUAGUCAAUUGUCUGCUGCUAUAAUAGAUACCACAGACUGGGAAAUUUAUGAAGAAAAGAAAUUUAUUUGGCUUAUGGUUCUGGAGGAUGGACAGUCCAAGGUCAUGACACUUGGAUCUGUUCGGCCAUCUGGUGAAGACCUUGUUGCAUUCUCCCAUGGUGGAAAGAAGAAAGCAAGUGAGUACAAGAGAUAGAGAAAGAUAAGGGCAGAACUUACUCUCUUAUCAGGAGUCCGCUUCUAUAACCCAUUCUAAAAAUAAAGCAUUAAUCCAUUCAUGAGGGUAGAGCCCUCAUAACCUAUCACCUCUAAAGAUCCCACUUCUUAAUACUGUCACAAUGGCAAUUAAAUUUUAACGUGAGUGUUGUAGGGAACAUUCAAACAACAGCAACUACAACAACAACAGACGUCAGCUCCUGUGUGUCUUCCCUUGCUCAUCUAUGCCUACCAGAAUAGAAUGAAAGAAGGGUUUAUUUGAUCCUGUGUUCAAGUCAUUCAUUUAUUCCACUAGGCAAUCUGUCAAGAUCUCAUAGAUUAAGGGCUCCUACAGCAACCUGUACUCACCCUAUUUUACCCUUUAUCAUACAUUUUUGGUAAGUAAUCUUUUUAUUGUUCAACUUCCCAAAUAAAAUAUAAACUUUUAACAAACAGGGACCUUGGCUUUCUUGUUGAAUUCUGUAUCCUUAGUGUUUCACAUGGGGACUGACACAAAGUAGGUUUCAAGAAAUAGUUGUUGAAGUAAAUAUUUCCUUAGGACCUACUCUGCUGAGAUUACUAGUUGCCUUGUAUCAUAGUAGGUCAUACUUAUCCCUUCUUUUUAAGUAACAUAAUUCUCAUUUUAACCUGGAAGGCCAUACUAAGUGGCCAAAAGACAACCCAGCUCCUGUGUCAUUAAGAAUAACUGUGUAAAUCUGAUUCAUGAGAUGUAAACAGAAAUGUUGUGUUUCACUUCCAUGAAGUCUUUUACUCCAUCCUCCUCCUUAGAUCAUGCAUGUGAUGGCUGGAACUCAGUCAUUUUGGACCAUGAAGACCAGACCCACACGCUGGGGCCUAAGAAGCAGAAGUAUGAAAGCCACCUGGAUCCCUGAAGACCAUGGAAUUGUUAGAACAAUUCUACUCUAUCUGUAGACUUGUUUUAUUUGAAAGAUAAGUAGAUUUCUGUCUUAUUCAAUUCACUGAUUUUGGUUCUUUGUUAUUUGCAAUCAAAUCUAAUUCCAGUAGAUACAACUCCUAAGUGCAGAGCACUGUUCUAGGGAUUGUGGGGCAUGCUGACAUGGGUCUCAUGCCUGCAUAGCACUCAUAGCCUGCAGAAGAACAGCAGUGCUGCCAUAUCUGAUGGUCAUUUGACACACUGAACUCCAGCCAUAUCAAUUUUCUUUUCAGUCCCCAAAUGGCAGUCACCACAAAAGAAGAAAAGAUAAAGCUCUUAGUGGGAUCUGAAUCAAGAGAUACCACUUACAGUGGAAGGAAAAAAGAUCAUUUUCAUGGAGGAACUGCCCUUGAAUUUCGCCUUGAAUAUUGAUGAGUAUUGGAAUCUGCAGAGACUGGGAUAAGGUUGGGAUGAGGUCGAACACUACAGGAACAGAAAAUAUGGAACAUGUUUGGGAGCAGGCCAGGGAUUCUGUCAUAUAAAGUGCAUGAAAAAGCAUAUCAUGUAAUAUUUAUGAUUAUUGCUCUGGAGUUAGACUGUUUGGGUUUGAAUCCCAGAUCCAGUGUUUACUAUCUAUGUGACCUCGGCUGAGUCAUGAACUUCCAUGAGCUCCAUUCUUCUCACCUUUAAAAUGAAGAUCACAACUCCUACCUUCUUGGCUUGUUACCAGAAUUAAAUGAGUUUUUAUGUGUGGAGGGCUCAUGAGAGUGGCUGUCCCAAAUAAGCAUUCUCUAAAUGUUAGAUAUGACUGUCAUCCCCUUAAAACUGCAAGAGUUAGUUGAAACCAUAGCAAGCCGAGCCAUGAAUGCCAUGUUAAUGCAUGUUAAUGCCAUUAUUAUAAAGGUACCAAAAAGCUGCUGACAGUUUGUGAGCAAAGUUGUGGAUGACAUUAUCAGAGCUGUAUUUUAGGAAGUCUUAAUAUGUCAA
rnacentral:lncRNA from 1 species